rnacentral:rRNA from 1 species
AACGAACGCUGGCGGCAGGCUUAACACAUGCAAGUCGAACGCCCCGCAAGGGGAGUGGCAGACGGGUGAGUAACGCGUGGGAACAUACCCUUUCCUGCGGAAUAGCUCUGGGAAACUGGAAUUAAUACCGCAUACGCCCUACGGGGGAAAGAUUUAUCGGGGAAGGAUUGGCCCGCGUUGGAUUAGCUAGUUGGUGGGGUAAAGGCCUACCAAGGCGACGAUCCAUAGCUGGUCUGAGAGGAUGAUCAGCCACAUUGGGACUGAGACACGGCCCAAACUCCUACGGGAGGCAGCAGUGGGGAAUAUUGGACAAUGGGCGCAAGCCUGAUCCAGCCAUGCCGCGUGAGUGAUGAAGGCCUUAGGGUUGUAAAGCUCUUUCACCGAUGAAGAUAAUGACGGUAGUCGGAGAAGAAGCCCCGGCUAACUUCGUGCCAGCCGCCGCCGUAAGAC